rnacentral:lncRNA from 1 species
AUGAACACUUUCUCUCUCGAUUCUCUCUGCGUAAAUCUUGAGAAUAUCAUCGGCGAUGCAGGCUUUUAUCUACUUUUCCGAUUAACAUCUGAUAACAUCAAGGAAGAAUGAUGAUGAUGGAAUUGAUGAGAAAAAUAUUAUGAAUUGUUAAAGGGUUUUCAAUAAGAAAAGAAAGUAUGCAAUGAAAACCAGUUUGCCGUAAAGGGAACUUGCUGAAGUGGUUUGGUAACAACAGAGGUGAUUUCAAUGUGCAGAUGGCAAUCGAAGUUGAGUUCAGUGGCUCUACGAUUCGGGUUAAUUGGUAACUUGUGUCUAGCAUUUUUGUUCUUCCCAGUGACUCGAGGAUCGUCUAUAUUGUUGCUGUUCGGGCUAACUUCUGAGGCCAGCAUCAAGUAUCACAUAUGGCUAGGCCAUAUUGUUAUGACCCUCUUCACUUCUCAUGGUGUUUGUUACAUUAUUUAUUGGAUAGUCACCAAGUAGACAUCAGAGGUUGUAAAUGGGCUGGUAGUUUGUAAUCAAGUCAUAAACAGGUUGUUUUUUUUUUCAAAAAGGAUGAACCAUGGCAAGCCUCUUGGUGCAGUUCCCACACGUCUGAACGACCUUGCAACUUUAGUUGUCGGGACACACGUACCAAAGUUACGCAACCUUCAUCGCCAACACUGUAUUUGAAGCCACUGAUAACAGUACCAUAGCAUCAACGACAGUGAUCUACAAAAGGUGUUGUGACCCGUUUUCAACCUGAAUUCAUAUUGGCCCUUAAUGAUCCACAGUUAGUUGUUAUCGCAUAUUUCUCGAGCUAAGCUGACCUUUAAACAUAUCGGGGUUUUCGUCAGCCAAAAAACUUUAGCAUUUAGUGGUAGCGCGUGGCUACGGUUGUGCGGUGGCUGAAUCGGGUGGUGAUCGGCGGCUGAUUCAUAGCCGUGAAUGGUGACAUAUAGCUGCCAUUCUGGUCAGUUUUGGGCUGAAGCCGUGAAUACAUUUCGCUUAAUGGGUCGUGCCUUGACCAGGUUCAUAUGCGGACACAAGUGAGAAAGAUGCAAUAUUUUUAUUAGGUGGUUCAUCGAAUCUGAUAUGUUAAGUCCAGUUUGACAAUCACAUUAGAGUUUCUUUUAUUAUAUACAAUUUUGAAUGAUAAUUAUCAAAAGUGGUGUGAUCUUAACUUUUGUUAGUUUUGAAGUAUUUGUUUAGAAAAGCAAUCUUUCAUCGUCAAGUUUAGCCAAAUGACAUUAAUAUUUAAAAGUACAUUCUCACCCUAUGAUUCUUUUUCUAAAUACUAUUGGUGUAAUUCUUUUUUAUGGCAAAUUGGCAAUAAUCUGGUGUUCUUGUGCCAUGGCUGUAUAUUGGCAUGUUUAUUAACUAAUAAAAAUAAACAACCCGGAAAGCAGUCUCGGGUAAUAAC